rnacentral:rRNA from 1 species
UACGUAGGGGGCAAGCGUUGUCCGGAUUUAUUGGGCGUAAAGCGCGUGUAGGCGGUUUGGUAGGUCUCGCGUCAAAACCUGAGGCUCAACCUCAGUUCGCGUGGGAAACCACCUAGCUAGAGUCCGGAAGAGGAGAACGGAAUUCCCAGUGUAGCGGUGAAAUGCGCAGAUAUUGGGAAGAACACCAGUGGCGAAGGCGGUUCUCUGGGACGGUACUGACGCUGAGACGCGAAAGCGUGGGGAGCGAACAGG